UACGGGGGGGGCAAGCGUUGUUCGGAAUUACUGGGCGUAAAGGGCUCGUAGGCGGCCAACUAAGUCAGACGUGAAAUCCCUCGGCUUAACCGGGGAACUGCAUCUGAUACUGGAUGGCUUGAGUUCUGGAGAGGGAUGCGGAAUUCCAGGUGUAGCGGUGAAAUGCGUAGAUAUCUGGAGGAACACCGGUGGCGAAGGCGGCAUCCUGGACCGACGACUGACGCUGAGGAGCGAAAGCCAGGGGGAGCAAACGGG
rnacentral:rRNA from 1 species